AAAAAUAAUCGGUGACUAGUCGACUAUCAAAAUAGUCGUUUGUGGCAGCCCUAAUUCAGACACAUGGUAGAUCUAGACUUUAACAGCUGUAUUGUUUCAGAGAUGUCAGUAUAUUAUGUAAGUAUUAUCCAUCACUGACAGAGAACGAAAAUAAACAAAAUAUGUGAAAGUGGAAUUUGAGAGCUGUGUGCACACAAAGUGUGCUCUAUCGUGUGGACCAAUCUCUGUGCACCAACUACUGUUUAUUAUCUGUUUGUAUCGUGUGUGUGUGUGUGUGUGAGAGAUGUAAUGAGCAACAACAGAGCCUGUCCCACCAACACUCCACCUUAACUUUCAUUAAAAUAUCGACAACAGAAAAACGCAGGAUUCAGCUCUCAACAUUCGGAGGUGACGAGCUUCACACAGCAGAGUUUCUCAUCCAGAUCAAGCAUACCGAAUCUGCUCAUACAGUCUGCAGGGAGCGGGAGCCACACGUUUGCCAGCCUCGGCCCAAAGCCUUGGCAGGGCACUAACAGCUGUGAGCCGCCCCCCUGUGGUUCUGGCAUUUCUAAUAAAUCAAUGAGUGAAGAAAAUUCACUGAGCACUCUGUCCUCUCUGAUCCCGGGCCUCCUUAGGGCAACUAUCGCAGCCACAACCAGCGCAAAACCCUUAAGACACCACAUUUUUACAACAAUGUAGAUGAUGAAACACCCAAAUGCUGCGGUUUUUACACUGAGGACCACUAUUCUUUUUGAAGAGACUUCUUCUUAUACCCAGCCAUGUUGCUGAACGGUCACCAAUUAAACUAAUUAGGUGUGUUAUGUUGCACCAGCAUUACAUAACCUGUCCCCUGCUUCCUGGAUGUGUUACUCACAUUAAAUU